GCCGCGGAUGACGGCCGGGGGCGCCAAAAGCCUCACAGGGGGCGGGGCUUUGGCCCCCCCGUCACACGUAGAAGGGAACAGCGGCAUGUGGGCGGCGGGCUCUCGAUCUUGGCGAAUUGCGGAGAAAUUUAGCAGACAUUUAAAAAAAAAAAAAAGUGGAGCGUAAACGAGUUAACUCAUAUUUUGGCCCCUGUUCGCUGGCUGCUUUCAAGGUGAUAUUAAGAUUUAGUUUUGUAUUCAAGUCUCUGAAUGGUCUCGCCUCGCCUCACUGAGCUGCUCCAUCCAGUUGCUCUUGGAGGUGGAAGCCGAAGAGAUUGGUUUUUUUUUCUAUUGUUGGUCUCAAAUGUUCAAUUGUCUGACGUUUGCGUUUUACAUCCAUAAAGCUGCGCUGAUUUUUCAACGUGCAUAUCCUCUCACCUCUGUAGAAGCGCUCUCCAAUUCGCUGAGGGCCCACAGCCAAACCGGCUUCGUCUGCUGGCCUGGCCUUCGGUCACUGCCUCCAACCUGCCUGCGCUCGACUAAAUAGCUGUGUGCCUGUGGAGUCCUCGGUCAGCGGGGAGUCUGAGGAUGUUAGUCGGCGAGGAAGCCAAUUGGCCAGCUGACUGCAAUUUGGCCACACAAACAACGGCGUUGAAAAAGUUGAUGGGCAACGUUUGAAUUCUUACAAUGAGACUCAAAGUUUGGCAUCACAUUCUAAUUGGACUGGUGUGCACACACGCGAGAAGCACGUCAAACUUAGCUUUUAGGAAUAUUUUCAAUCGGCAAACGGCAAACUCUGUCUUGAACAAAUCUGAUUGUAAUAAUUGUCAUUUUCUUUUUAU